UAACACAUUGUCUGGUUGAAGUGUCCUUAGU
rnacentral:piRNA from 1 species